UUGGCAGAUGUCCUUUUUAAAGUAGCUUCGCGUUACUGGUAAAUUUAUACAUACAUCGAAUUUUUCUAUCUUCUGAGCUUCUGUUUCGUAUUGUAUAUUGAUUUAUUACGAUAUAUCUUUCUUUAAACGCGUUAUUGUGUACAAAGAUGAAAUAGAUUAGUUUUAAUUCAUUUUUACCGUUCACCUGUUUUUUACAUGAAAUAACAUUAAAUUGUCAACGGAUACUUGUAAAAUUUGCUUUUCUCGUUGGGAAACAUAUAACGACGCGAGUGUAACGCGAGAAAAUCUUUUUUCUUCUUUUUCUUUUCGCUUUUUCUCGUUCGUUCAACAUUUUUACGACACAACAGUGAGAUUUUCUAUCCACUUUAAUUACAUAUAGUACCGAUUCUUCUUACGAUUAUGAUUACGCUUUCACCGUCGUGGAUUCGCUGUGCUGGACAUCAGAGCUUUCGAAAAUCGCAUACAGUAGCGGACAAAAGUUUAAGACGAUGAUUUGUAAACCGGAUUACAAGCAUCUUAUACGCAUAUUCUUCUUCUACUCGGUUUGUCGUUUUGGAAUAACAUAGCUGUAUGUUUGAAACAAACAAUGUAGUCGGUUACCGCUUAACACUUGUAAACGGUGGACAUUAGUUUAAGACGAUCUGUGUAAAACCUGAGUGUGAGUACAGUUUUUGAACAUUUUUGAUUCUGGAAUGUCAAAAUCAUUGUUCGGUGUACCUUUUAUUGCUUAAAAUUCAACUAAGUAGAAACAGACUAUAGGUAAAUCAAAGAAUUUACUUGAAAACGAAAGGGAAGAAAUCGUAAACGCUGUGAAAGCAAAGUAAAACCUUCACCGAAAUAGCAAAUAUAGAGAACAGGUCAGAAACGGCUUGUAAGCAAGCUUGGUAUAAAUUUUUAAAAGCAAGCAUGUAUUGAGGUCAACCAAAAACGGAAGACCACGGAAAACAACGCCGAAAAUGGAUCACCGGAAUCAUCGAUCGAGAUAAAGGGAUCGUUUUCGUAGUGCAAAUAAUAUCGCUGUGGAUAUAAACUACAAAAAUGAUACACAAAUUAGUGCUAAAACUGUUAGGAGAAGAUUAGAAGACUUUAACCUAAGAGGACGAAAAGCCCAAAAGAAACCACUGCCGAGUUCUAGGAAUCGAAAAAGACGACUUGCAUUUGCUAAAGCUCGUAAGCAUUGGACAAGGGAAGAUUGGCAAAAUUCAAUCGCGUCUCUUCUGACGGGAUACGGUACGUUAGACGUCGAGGUGGUGAAAGUUUGAAAACACAGUGCGUUUUAAAAACUUUUAAACACGGUGGUGGAAACGUUGUGGUGUGUGUUUGUGUUUUUUUCGAGGCAGCCCUGGUCCGAUAUAUCGUAUCAAUGGAAUUAUACAAUGUUGCCUUUGGCACGCAACAAUAUGAGUGGUAAUUUUAUUUUUCAAAAUGAUAAUGAUCCGAAGCACACGGCUCGGACUGUGAAACAGUUUUUUGAAGAAAAAAAUAUUACCGUGCUGCCGUGGUCGUCGCAAUCACCGGACAUUAAAUUAAUCGAGAAUUUGUAGAGCAUCAUAAAGAAGACAGUACAAGGUUAUAAACUGAAAAAUUUGAAUGAACUUUACUCUACCAUUGAAACAACUUGGAGUAAUAUUACGGUAGAUCAAUGUAAAAAAUUAAUAGAUUGUACGCCAAGAAGAUGCACCGAAGUGAUAAGAAACAAGGGAUAUUGGACAAAAUAUUAUACAGAUUUCGUUCCUUUUUUACAACUUAGCUACCGAGCAAAAUAUCAAAAUGAAACUUUUUUUGUUGACAUUUCAUAAGCCGAGUUUCGAACGAGUUUGCCUGGCGCGCGACAAUCACGUUAGGACGAGUUUUAAGCGAUGGCGACCGAAACCAAAUCGCAUGCUAAUGAUUCAAAAUGGCCGCCAUCGACGUACAGUAUGUAGAGCAGAGUGGGGGAACAGGGAAUGGUGUUAGGAGCCAAAAUGGCGUCAAAGUGACGCGCGCAACACUUUGAAAACGAUCGACUUUACAACUUUAGACAUAACGUUCGAGGCGCUACAUUUUCGAAUCUUUCGCCUGGAAAGCUAUUAAAUGGCGAGACAAAAGUCAAUAAUCUUCUGCCAUAAAUCAAUGAAUCAAAUUCAACAUCGUGUGCUCAUUGUCUGAUUCGUGGCGACUGAAACAACAAACCGAUUUUUCGUAUCAAAUAUCGUGUAAUCGCAUUGCGACCAAAUUGCUUAAAAAUUGCAACGAACAAGACGUUUUUUGUCUAGGGCGUGUUUCAAAUUGCCAUCUCCUGUGACCGCCUCGUUACGUUUUAAGAGCUCUUAGUGCAUACCAUUACCUUAUGGCAGCGGGUGUUCCCUUUUCCGAUCAACGUUUACAGCUAUCCAAAUAAAACCAUUUCUCGUUACAUCGUUAAAAUUUGAUAUAAAAAUCUCUAUUUUGGUAAAUUUUUGAUUACUUUUGUUCGUUAUAAUACUACUCCUAGUCAUAGGAAAAAAGAGAGUUUUAUAUCAAAUUCUAAUGUAAUAAGGUAAUGGUAGGCACUACGACCUCUUAAAACGUAACGAGGCGGUCAAAUUGUACGAAUUUAAUACUAACAGAAUUUACAAAAAGUAAGAUACAAAAAACACUUGUUAAUUUCUCGAAAACAAAUGACCAUCCACUGAGAUCUCAAAAAUCUGAAAAUUGUACGAAUUUAAUACUAACAGAAUUUACAAAAAGUAAGAUACAAAAAAUACUUGUUAAUUUCUCGAAAACAAAUGACCAUCCACUGAGAUCUCAAAAAUCUGAAAAUUCUGAGACGAUGAUGAAAUCUUCCCCGUGAUUUCACCUGAACACUGUUUUCAGGUGAAAAAAAAGCUACUUUGUAACAGUUGUAAUUUUCAUGUUUCGCAUCGUUAUCGGAUGAAAUUUUCCACGGUGUAUAUAGGAAAUAUGUGGAAAUCGUUGCACACAAAAAAUGGAAGUUUAUUUUUAACUAGAAAGCAACCUUUGGCAUAGUGUGCCUAUAUAAAAUAAAAUAGGCUCGAAAUCGUUAGGAAAUCGAUUUAUUGUUGGUGGUGAUCAUAAUGUAAAAGAUAACUUGUAGAAAUGAAAAACUAAGACAUCGCGAGGUAAAGUUUUCGAAGAAAUUAUACGAAAACUUUCUUUGGAUAGAAUAUUAACCGGUGAAGCAACGUAAUGGCCAUCGGCGUAAGAAAAAUCCCCGGCUUUACUAGAUUUUCCGAUUAUUAUUAUAUAAUCAUUACAUAUAUACAUUCAGUUAUAAAUUAACCAUUAUCCAUUUGAUCAUACACGGAAUAGGUAGGAAUAGAUAUAGACGAAGCGUCAGUAAGUUUAGCGUUAAACUUACCUUAUUAACCUCUCUGCCUCGUCGUUCUUAAUCACGUUUCGUGGGGAAAAAAUAUUUCCUACGGAAUCCAUAUUCCAGUUUUAUGACAUUAUUAUGUUUCCGUUUAGAUUCCAAAUCUGGCUCGUAUUUUAAUCGAACCUGCCAGUCUAAAUAUAAUUUAAAUGUUAAUCCACACUUUUGUAAUAAUUUGCUUGCACUCAUUUUUGCUAACUUAAUCAAAUCCAUCUAUGAAAUCAAGUCGAAGGUAUCAACACCUGUGAGUGAUGUCGCGUGUCGAAUAUUCUAGCAGCACUAUUCUACGCUUAUGCAUUCGCUGCGCUCAUUGGCCAUAGAUAACGUGAUUGAUUAUGAUUGGUUAUUGAUAUUCUCGAUAUUAUUGGUUGCUACUUUUAUAACAUUAUCUGAUUGGACUCUUCGAAUAUGGUAUAUGUUUGGUUUUACACAAGCAGGAAUUUAAAAUCUUUUGCGAAAAGAUGAUUAGUUUUCUCAAGGAUUAUUUGCAAUAUUUGGAUAUCCAAUAGUAAUUUGUAAUUAUUUAGACUUUAAACGAACUAACUAUCGAACUAACUAUCGAACUAACUAUCGAACUAACUAUCGAUUAUCAGUCUCGACAAUCGUCAGUUAUACUUGAAAAUGAAAUUGAAACAAAAAUCAUUGAAUUCUUAAAUUUAACGAAUAUUUAUUUCUUAUAAAAUAGUGAUCAUUUUUACAGUUCAUUGUCUAACUAAAACUAAAACGAAUAAAUUGCACGCUUUAUUUUCCACCCCUCACUACUGAAUUAUAACCUUACUCGUUAAAUUAUACUUUACUUAAUUGAGAAAGCUUGUGUUUGUUACGAUCGAAUUCAAAAUUAAUUCAUCGACUGUUCGCUUGCUGUUAAUAAGAUGUACAAGUGGUACCAUUAUUAAUUGCGCCCGUAUUUUCCAAAUCGCUAUAAAUAUCGCUGGAUUUCAAUUAUUUUAUACCUAUUUUUUUUUCUUUUUUUUUACGCAUAUUGCAUUUAACGUUACCAUCGCUUUCAACACUUGUGUAGCAAUUCCACGUAUAUUCUACGAAAAAUGAAAUUGAAAAACUUUCUCCAAGUUACUAAACAUUUAGUGGUUUAGAAUAUGAGUCGGAGAUGAUCGGCAGAGAAAACAAGAGAAUAGUAUUAUCCUCGUCACUAUUUCCUAUGGGUCACGAUUAUAAAAAAUAGGACAAGGAGGUUAUAACUCAAUCAGCAAAAAUCCGGGCACGUCAACUGCUACGGAGAUGCAAGCAUAAAUUUCACGAAAAAGAGAGCAAAAAGAGCGACAACUACAUUUUUAUUCGAUAAAAAAUUAACGAUUCAUCGUUGAUAAAGAAUUACAUAUACUUGAGAGAACGUAAGUUUAUCGAAGAGGAAUGGGAGGAAAAAGUUUGCAACAAAUAGUAACGGAGUUUGGCAUAUCCAAAGAAGGACCAACGAGCUACCAGAAGAUACCAGCUAAAAUCUUGGAAAUUCGAUACGAAUUCGAUGAAAUUGUAGGAAAAAGAAAACAGCCGUUCGUCAAGAUGCAGAAAUUUCCUUUCCAUGAAACAUUGAUCAUCGAAACAACUAACAAAGUAACAAAGCUUCUUUAUAUAUACAAUGUUAACGUAAUCAUCAUGAUCAAAAACAUCUUAGUACAUGGCAUUUAACGAUACAAGUGUCGCGUAAUUUUUGAGUAAUUACACAACUGUUGAGUUUAGUAUAGUCUUUAUUCUUUAGACUUAGUGUUUUAUUACAGAGGUGAAUAUUGUAACUGAAUUGAAAUUAGAAAUAAAACUGUUUGAACGGACUCGUACCAUCAAAGAAGAAAGCUCGGUGUGGGUGUUCCCUUUGGAACUCAGAACGCGGAUUCGUUGUCCACACUUUUUGGUGGAAAAGUGAGGGUAACGAUCCGCGAUGCCCAUUGGUAAAUGAAUUAGGUAGUAAAGACAAGGAGAGCUAGAUAUGGCUCGUGGGCAUCCUUGUUUAUGGGAAAAGUCUUAUCUUGCUAGACACCCGCUUUCUCCGUAUCAGGCCUGCUGCGAGUUAAUGGAACAAUAGAUAGGUCUUGGCGUUCGGACUACGGGGAAUUUUACAAGGACCGUCAUAUCUGGCGUACCACAUGGCAAAAAGGAAAGUUGGUUCGUGACACAAGAAACGAAUGGAUACCUUAGUGCCAUUGAUACAAAAUGUCCAGAUGCUGCAGUUUAUUGCCCUUGUAAUAUCUUAAGAUCGACAUUACGAGCAAGACAAGCCAGUAACAAGCCAUGAAUCCUGCAAUCAUUGUUUUUUGUACAAACUUAUCAGCCUCUAGAAAAUAUUAAAAUACGUUAUUUAAAGUGAGAAAUAGAAGAAAGUGCAAUAAUACUGCCAACUGAUAUUUUAUUAAAAGGUUCUUAUUCAAAGUUUUAUCAACAAAAUCUCACACAGGACAACCGUUUACCAUCCAUUUGCGCUAUAUGGACAACGUGAUAUAUGAUUCGUGUUGGAUUUAUUUUUCACUAAAUUACGUACCCUCGAUAUCAGGAUCACAUAGGAAGAAGCUAAUGCAAAGUCGAAGACAGAGUCUGGCAGGUAUCGUUGGUUUGCUCUCGUACUUUUGUUAUUGCCAGAUGAGACUGUAGAAAAGCAUUGUCAAUAAUGAAAUUAACUCUAGCUAAUGACGUGUUUAAACUAUAACUGCAGCGACAUUUAUCAACAAAACUAAUCUCUUAAGAGCCCUUAAUAGCAUACGUCGAGCAUACAGGGUUAUCCAUUUAACACGGGACCCGAUCUAGCGAGGACAUAUGAAAAUGACAAUAUCGUAACACGUAUGCUUGUUAUUACAGUCGAACGUCGUUCGCCACCUAUCAGCUGUUGCUGUGCAAUAAUUAGGCAAGAACACAGAGCGGUUUGAUGGUCGCCUAAGAACUUUAAAUUUGACGUCGCAAUAGAUGGAGGGGCCGCAGUGAUAAUAAGAAGCGAUAUCAAACACCACUUACACAGUCAAAUUAGUCAGGAACACGUCCAAGCGACCACCGUUACAAUACAAACUAACAGCAAUUACUUGCAGAUGUCAGCAAUUAUAUACACCACCGCGACACUAAAUGACAUUACAAAAAUGAGAAGAGUAUUUUCAAUCCUUAUGUGACAAAUACAUCGCAGCGGAACACUUCAAUGCAAAGCAAACGCUAUGGGGCCCAAGAAUUAACAUACCUUGAGGUAGGACACUAGAAAAAUAUAUUAGAACUAGUAAUCUCAAUAUAUUAUCUACAGAAAGACCAACAUGACAGAUCUGAAUAAAGCACAUGACAUGCUUGAUUUUGCAGUUAUAGGAGGACUAAACGCAAACAAAUUAAAAAUAACACCCAGUUUAAAGCUUAGCUCCGAUCAUACACCGAUAAUAAUAGAAUAUGCAAGCGAACCAAUACUUUGUAGGAAUCCAGAGCCGCUUUGCGAUAAAACCACCAAAUGGCAAACAUUUAAACAACUGAUUGAGAACAACAUCGACAACAUUGACAAAAAUUAUACAACAGCACGGGCAACUACUAUUUAUGAACCAAACAACAGGCAAACAAAAAUAAUUCAAACAGACAUCCUUGACAAAAUCAGAGAAAAAAGGAAAGCGAAAAACAUAUGAAUGGUGAAAACAAAAAACGUCUGAAGAAAGUUGCAAAGGAAAUAAAAAGUAAAAUAAAAGAUCAUAAUAAUAACGAAUUCUGAAAAUUCAUAGAAACAUUCUCUGCGCACGAAAAUGCCAACUGCUCUUUAUGGAAAGCCACAAACGAAAUAAAGAAGUCAAUAAAAUACCUCAUUCUGCCGUCGACUGCCGAAGCGUGUGGACGUAUGUCUGGUGCUCAGUGAAGUUUGCAAUGCAAUGGGUGAUGAGCUUCCGUCGAAAGUGAAUUGAAACAGAAACGAACCAGGUGUUUACUGGACUUAGUCGUGGAAAAUCCUACGCUUCUGAUCUUUGCUCCAGAUCAUGGCCUCUCGACUGGUUAUUUCAAUUUGAAUUGACUGGCUCGAGGAUGGCCCAAGUAAUUCGAUCGGGCUCUCAUGAGCAAGACUGUAAUCGCACUGUUCUACCUCCUCUGUGGCAAAGGGAUGGUCUGUCCCAUUUCUCAAACCAUACAAACAACAUGUAAAUGUGACUACAAAGGAACGCGUGGAUAAAUUGUAAGGUAGAAAAUAUAUAUUUUAAAUACUGAAGUGUAAUUACAAGUCGUAAUAUACCCUAUGACUGAAAAGCAAAAAAAAAAGCCUGAACCCAACGCCGCCUAUUUACCGUUUAUGGUUUGCCUUCGACGCAGUCUUUUGUCUAUACGCUGUCGAUGGCUUCAGUGCUUGAGAAAACUAAAAGACUAGAUGUAGAGUUUUCUUACAAGUGAUGAUCACUUCAACGAUAGUUAAAACAAUAAAAACGUAAACACUAAUCGGAACUGUUGAAGUGAUCGUCACUUCUGAGAAAACUCUACAUCUGGUCUUCGGUUUCUCAAGCGCCCAAGGUUAUCGAAAGCGCAUAGACAAAAGAAUGCGUCGAGGAAAGACCAUAAGCGGUACACGUCCGACGUUGGUUUCGGCAGUUGUUUCAGUCUCAGGGUAACGUUGCUAGCGAGAGGAUCUGGAUCGGCUUACAUAGUACUACAUAUUUUGUAAUUUAUUAUUCACAAUAUAUAUACAUUCAAUACCUUGCA